UGGGGAAUAUUGCACAAUGGGCGCAAGCCUGAUGCAGCCAUGCCGCGUGUAUGAAGAAGGCCUUCGGGUUGUAAAGUACUUUCAGCGGGGAGGAAGGUGUUGUGGUUAAUAACCACAGCAAUUGACGUUACUCGCAGAAGAAGCACCGGCUAACUCCGUGCCAGCAGCCGCGGUAAUACGGAGGGUGCAAGCGUUAAUCGGAAUUACUGGGCGUAAAGCGCACGCAGGCGGUCUGUCAAGUCGGAUGUGAAAUCCCCGGGCUCAACCUGGGAACUGCAUCCGAAACUGGCAGGCUUGAGUCUUGUAGAGGGGGGUAGAAUUCCAGGUGUAGCGGUGAAAUGCGUAGAGAUCUGGAGGAAUACCGGUGGCGAAGGCGGCCCCCUGGACAAAGACUGACGCUCAGGUGCGAAAGCGUGGGGAGCAAACA
rnacentral:rRNA from 1 species